rnacentral:misc_RNA from 1 species
GAUGAAGAACGCAGUGAAAUGCGAUAAGUAGUGUGAAUUGCAGAAUUCAGUGAAUCAUCGAAUCUUUGAACGCACAUUGCGCCCCUCGGUAUUCCGUGGGGCAUGCCUGUUCGAGCGUCAUUUACCCCUCAAGCACUGCUUGGUGUUGGGCGUCUGUCCCGCUUCGCGCGCGGACUCGCCCCAAAGGUAUUGGCAGCGGUCGUGCCAGCUUCUCGCGCAGCACAUUGCGCUUCUCGAGGCGGUCGAUCGGCGUCCACGAAGCUCACCUCCACCGUUUGACCUCGGAUCAGGUAGGGAUACCCGCUGAACUUAAGCAUAUCAUUAAGCGGAGGA